CCCUGACGAGACUGACGCUCAGUGCGAAAGCGUGGGGAGCAAACAGGAUUAGAUACCUGGUAGUCCACGCUGUAAACGAUGUCGAUUUGGAGGUUGUGCCCGUGAGGCGUGGCUUCCGGAGCUAACGCGUUAAAUCGACCGCUGGGGAGUACGGCCGCAAGGUUAAAACUCAAAUGAAUUGACGGGGGCCCGCACAAGCGGUGGAGCAUGUGGUUUAAUUCGAUGCAACGCGAAGAACCUUACCUACUCUUGACAUCCAGAGAACUUUCCAGAGAUGGAUUGGUGCCUUCGGGAACUCUGAGACAGGUGCUGCAUGGCUGUCGUCAGCUCGUGUUGUGAAAUGUUGGGUUAAGUCCCGCAACGAGCGCAACCCUUAUCCUUUGUUGCCAGCGGUUCGGCCGGGAACUCAAAGGAGACUGCCAGUGAUAAACUGGAGGAAGGUGGGGAUGACGUCAAGUCAUCAUGGCCCUUACGAGUAGGGCUACACACGUGCUACAAUGGCGUAUACAAAGAGAAGCGACCUCGCGAGAGCAAGCGGACCUCAUAAAGUACGUCGUAGUCCGGAUUGGAGUCUGCAACUCGACUCCAUGAAGUCGGAAUCGCUAGUAAUCGUAGAUCAGAAUGCUACGGUGAAUACGUUCCCGGGCCUUGUACACACCGCCCGUCACACCAUGGGAGUGGGUUGCAAAAGAAGUAGGUAGCUUAACCUUCGGGAGGGCGCUUACCACUUUGUGAUUCAUGACUGGGGUGAAGUCGUAACAAGGUAACCA
rnacentral:rRNA from 1 species